UCUCUCUCUCUGUGUGUGUGUGUGUGUGUGUGUGUACACACACACACACACACACACACACAUACACAUACACACACACACACACAGAGAGAGACU